CCUACGGGAGGCAGCAGUGAGGAAUAUUGGUCAAUGGGCUUACGCCUGAACCAGCCAAGUCGCGUGAGGGAAGACUGCCCUAUGGGUUGUAAACCUCUUUUGUCAGGGAGCAACGCCGGCUACGUGUAGCCGGACGGAGAGUACCUGAAGAAAAAGCAUCGGCGAACUCCGUGCCAGCAGCCGCGGUAAUACGGAGGAUGCGAGCGUUAGCCGGAUUUAUGGGGGUUCAAGGGUGCGUAGGCGGAAUGCCAAGUCAGCGGUAAAAUCGCGGGGCUCAACCUCGCUCCGCCGUUGAAACUGGCGUUCUUGCGUGGGCGAGAAGUAUGCGGACUGCGUGGUGUAGCGGU
rnacentral:rRNA from 1 species